rnacentral:rRNA from 1 species
CAGCCGCCGCGGUAAUACGUAGGGGGCAAGCGUUGUCCGGAAUUAUUGGGCGUAAAGCGCGCGCAGGCGGUUUUUUAAGUCUGGUGUCUAAGUGCGGGGCUCAACCCCGUGACGCACUGGAAACUGGGAGACUUGAGUGCAGAAGAGGAGAGCGGAAUUCCACGUGUAGCGGUGAAAUGCGUAGAGAUGUGGAGGAACACCAGUGGCGAAGGCGGCUCUCUGGUCUGUAACUGACGCUGAGGAGCGAAAGCGUGGGGAGCGAACAGGAUUAGAUACCCCGGUAGUCCCUGUCUCUUAUACA